rnacentral:lncRNA from 10 species
GUUAUGUUAGGCGUUAGUAUGACUUUAUUAUUGUCUUUAUUUAAAGAUUAUGUAUGAUCUCAGGAGAUGUGUAUGCGUUCAAGUUGACAAGGGGUGGACUUGUGAUGGUUAAUACUGAGUGUCAACUGAUUGAAAGAUAUAAAACAUUGUUCCUGGGUGUGUCUGUGAGGGUGUUGCCAAAGGAGAUUAACAUUUGAGUCAGUGGGCUGGUAAAGGCAGACCCACCCCUAAUCUGGGUGAGCACAAUCUAAUCAGCUGCCAGUGCAGCUAGAAUAAAAGCAGGGAGAAAAAUGUGAAAAGAGAGACUGGCCUAGCCUCCCAGCCUGCAUCUUUCUCCCACGGUGGUGAUAGAUGUUUCUUCCCCAUGAAUAUCAGAAUCCAAGUUCUUCAGUUUUGGACUGGCUCUCCUUGCUCCUCAGCCUGCAGAUGGCCUAUUGCGGGACCUUGUGAUCAGGUCUGAAGCCAGGCUCAAGAUUUGUUGGCAGUCAAAUGUGAGAGAUGUUUGCACAGGAGGUGUGGAGUCCAGAAAAAGACAACACUAAACCAUGAAGCAUAAGUUUCAACAAUUCGACAUUUCACAGCAUUGUGGAGGUCAAGAAGAGCUGGUAGUACUUGGGAAGAUAUCACAAAUCUGGAACACAACUCAACAUUAGAUGGAAAUAGUGCCACAUAAGCUGGAACUUAUGAUAUUAUGUGGGCAGUGGAUAUGUAGAGACAGUGAUUUCCAUAUCUCUUUUUAUUUCUUAUUAUUGAAAGACUAUUUGUUCAUAGCUACAAAUGAUUUCAGAUUUCCUUUGAAACUUAAAAGACUGUGGUAGAUCAGGCCACAUUAACGGAUCAGUGCAAGAGGAUAUUUAGGACAAUGCCCUUGGGACAGAAUGAUAAACCCUGGGCUUGCAAUCAGGCUGGAAAGUCCGCAUUUCAGAGCAAAUUUUAAAAGUACACAAUGUGAGAUGCCAGCUAAGCAGAAGUGCCAACAAUAUCUGCAGCAAUCAUUCAGGUUUAAAGAGCUCAUUCAAAUGAUGCAAGGUGAACAGGAGCUGUAGGCAGCCAGUGAGCAUAUUUGUUUCACUUUGAGAUGUUAAUUUAAUGCCAUCAUUGACAUUAAAUUAAAUUGUCAUGAAACUGAUCCAGGCAUUAGGAGAUUUAUAAAUGGGUAAGGCAUACUUCUCUCCUGCAAAGAGUUUGCAUGCUGUACCUUGUAGACGUUUCAAUUAUCUGUUGUAUAUGUAGCCACUGCAAAGAGCUUGCAUGCUGUACCUUGUAGAUGUUCAAUUAUCUGUUGUAUACAUAGCCACUCCAGAACUCAGUGGUUUUAAGUCAAUUGCCAUUUGUUACCCCACAAGUCCAAAAUUUUGCCAGGCUUCACGGUGAUGGAUCAUGUCUACUGCACAUGGAUUGUAUUUGAGUAAUUUAUGCAGCUGUAUUUAGCUGGAAGCUUGUCUGGGACUGGAACAUCCAAGAUGGUUUACUCACUCCCAGGUAUUCAUCAACACCACAGAUACCAGUGGCUGUGAUAAAGAGACCUCCGUCUUUCCCCAUUAAAGCCUUUGCCCUAUGUGGCCCACUCAUCUUUGGCAGAAGUUCUGAUCAUAAAGACCGAGACCUGGCAUGCUUUGAGCGCUCAGUGAUUAUUUGCUCAUAGACUGAUAACUUUCUCCCUUCCGAGUCAGCACCCUCUACCACUGGUUGCAUCUCUCCUGCCAAAUGAGAUUACCUGAAGAGUUUAUAAUUAACCCUGUCAUACCAUGGGAGAGACUCAGGUUGUCUAGAUGCCUCGUGUCAAUCUUUGCUAGGGCACAAACUCCAUGAACAUCGCUUUCAUAUAGUUAUCCUUCAAAUUCACAAUUUAGAAACAUUUCUGCAACACUCUGGGUGCCUUGGUGGUUGGAUACCAUUUGGGAAAUCAUUUAUCCUUUGGAGAUGUAAAUAAUUGGCAGGACUCGGCUGCAGUGUUCUCAUCAGACAUUAGAGUGUUGCCAGUAAUCAAACCUAUUGCAUGUCAGCUGCUUUCCAGCAUCAUUCUUUUCUAUCUUACAGCAUGACACUUUCUGGAUUGCAGUGAAAUAAAGAAACAGCAACAUGCAUGCUUGCUUGAAGGAAGUGUGAUGAGGCAUUCCUGAUUUGGCAGGGGCAAUUCAUGAACACGCUUUAGAAAUAAGGGAUUUUAUUGGAAAGCUAUGAGGCAACAGUGCAUCCUAGUGGAUACAGUUUUGCUCUAAAAAUAAAAAAUACAUUUUAUUUCCCUACCUAGAUGGCUAACAUCAUGAGAAAUUUUGAAAAUGGCAUUUUUAGUCCAUGGUUUCUGGUUUUGCCUGAAGGGUUCAAAUCCUCCUCUCAAAAUAAAUCAAAGCUAUUAUGUGAGAUUCUCUUCUAAUAAUUUGAUUUUGUGUCAUAUAAGCCUCCAGUUUAAAUAAAUUUAUUUUAAAGGAAUAAGCUGUGUUUUUAGAAUUGAAAUAUAUGAUAAUACUUGGAAAAGUUAGAGAAUAUUAUCUUGGUAUGAAACCAAAGUGUUGCUUUUCUAACUUAGUAUUUUUAUAAAGCUCUGUGUAGGUUUGGAGAAGAGGAGGAGAGAAGAGAAGAGAAAAUUUGAAAGGUGAAGUUUAUUAGUGGUUACACUUCAUCUUUUUGCAUGAAUAUUCAUGUACUCAUUUCAAAAGUUUGUUGAAAUUCUAAGAAGCUUAAAAUUAACCACUAUGUCUAAAAUGAUACCCUCGGCUACAAGUUAUAGAAAAACCUAAUUUGUACAUCUUAUAUAGUAGAAAAUACAUUAUCCCACAUAACAGAAGGUAUUGGGUAGGUGGUUAAACGGUUGGUUAAUUCUUUGGGUCAGUGAUAUCAGUUAUCCUUCUCAACUUCUUUGUGAUCUUCUUUGUGAUUCUCUCAUCUUUUACCUCAUACCUUAAAGGUGGCUGCCAGAGAUCCAAGCAUCAUAUUAUCAUACAAAAAUGUCCAAAGGCAGGAUGUGGUAUGUCCUUUUUAAGAGUGAGGGCAAUUCCAGAAGCCUCUCCAGGAUAAUUUCCAUGUGAGUCAUUUGUCAGCAUUAUACCUGCUGUUUAGUCAUUAGCAAAAUAAAUAACAUUACUAUGCUUACCUUUAUGCUAAUCAACAUUUACCUAGCUGCAACUGGGGAGAGCUUCAUGAAGCUAUAGGUCCGAUUCCUAAAGACCAUUACUGUAACGGUAAUAAGAAAGAGAGAAGGAAUAGCCACUGAAAAGGCAACCAAGAGUGACCACUACAAAUAUUUGUCUUUCCUCACCUAUGGUCACAGUUAAAUUUUGCUGGAUAACAAACCACUUCAAAACUUACAGCUUCAAACAAGACCAUUUGUUUAUCCCCUAAUUCUGUGUUCAGUCAUAUGGGCUGGGCUCAAGUGGAUCAUUUUUCUGCUCAUCUUGGCUAUUCUGACACAUGCAUCUUUAAUAAUCUACCAGGUGAUCUAGGAGCUGUUUGAUCUAGGAGAGGUCUUUAGCAUUAGUAAUUUUGCUGUAUUUCAUAGGCCCUUUUAUCCUGAAGCAGGGUAGCUUGGACUUUUACACAAGGUGAUAGAAAGAUCCCCAGGGCCACUGAAAAACAAUCCCCAAGUAUAAGUGCUUUUAAGAACUUUGUUUGUAUCAUGUUUAUGAAUGUCUCCUUGGCCAAAUAAAGUCACAUGUCCAAUCCUGAUUCCAGGGGUGUAAAAUAAAAAGGCAUGCACUGUCACAUUGCAAAGGGGUAGAUGCAAGAGAGAAAGAAUGAAUGGCCAGUUUUAACAUCUCCCAUAUAGGUUUACCAUAAGUUGCUGUGCUGAACUGCUUUCUACAUUUUCUACAACAUGUGAACAAUGGCAAAAAUCAACAGAAUAAUAACAGUUACAUAUUGCUUUUUAUGUACCAUACAUUAUUCUAAAUCCUUGCACAUUAAAUUAAUGAUUACAUUAUCAUAACACUUGGAGUCUGUAGUGGAAAGCAUCAUGAUAUAGAAGAAAGAAUAUGAGCUUUCAUGUCAGAAAGAUCUAUGUUUAGUUUUGGCACUUAGGAUUUACUAACAAUAUGUAUAUGACCUUGGAAAACUUAUUUAUUUUCUCAACAAAUAAUCUAUAAAAUGGGUGUAUGUCAGUUUGGGUCUUCCAAGAAGCAGAUGCCAAGACAGAACUAAAUAUGCAAAAGGCUUAUGAAGAAAAACACCUUUUGGUGGGGUGCAGUGGCUCAGGCCUGUAAUCCCAACACUUUGGGAGGCCGAGAGAGGCAGAACAUCUGCGGUCAGGAGUUCAAGGCCAGCCUGGCCAACAUGAUGAAACCUCGUCUCUACCAAAAAUACAAAAAUAAGCAGCAUGUGGUGUCAUGUGCCUGUAGUCCCAGCUACUAUGGAGGCUGAGGCAGGAGAAUCACUUGAACCCAGGAGACAGAGGUUGCAGUGAGGCAAGAUCACACCAAUGCACUCCAGCCUGGGUGACGGAGAAGAAAGGAAGGAAGGAAGGAAGGAAGGAAGGAAGGAAGGAAGGAAGGAAGGGAGGGAAAGGAAAGGGAAAGAAAGAAUAAAAAAGAAAGAAAGAAAGAAAGAAGGAAGGAAGGAAGGAAAGAAAGAAGAAAAGAAAAGGAAGAAAAAGACACCUGUGAAAGAUAAAGGGAGACAGAGCAAAAGUAAGUAGAAACUUCAGACUGCAAUAGAGGUCUGGCAUCUGUGAAAGAAGAAACACAAAGAAGAAUUGGAUAUGAAGAGCUUAGACCACAGCACAAUACUAAAGAAAAAAAAAAAGUCUUAUGGCUGAUGGGGAAUCCCUGAGCCAAACUUGUCCAGCAGGAACCAGCCAAUUCCAGUGUCCCUGCUAGACUUAGUCUGUGGCUGGGAGCAAGCAGCCAUAUCUUGCAGGGGAAAGAUGGUCUGAUAUGAACAAAGGAGUGAAUUCAAAGGAGUGGCAACUAGAAGUUGUCAAUCAACAAUGCUACCUGCAGCUGGUUCUCUGGAAGGGCAAUCUGAGCAGUGCAUGUCCAGGGCUGCCACAGAGUAUCAGAAAGCCACCCUUUGGUUUAUUGUAUUUAAUGAGGUAACAUGUAAACAGUCUGCCAUAUUGCCUGACACAUGGUAGAAAUUACAUGAUACUUUCAUGUUAACUGCUGGAAGUAUCAAUAGCCUCAAGUUUCAGUCCUCUCACUCAAAGACCAAGCUAAAAGCUGAAAGCAAAGUAGGAGUUUAGUAAAUUCUUAUUAUCCCACAUUCACCAGCUACAAUGAACAUCGAUUACACUGAUUAUCAAGCCCAACUUUAUGUCUGAGAACAGUUUCCACUCUAGUUUGUGACUGGUAUUCUUCAUACCGUGUUGGUACAUACGAAGCAGCCAUGUCUAUAUUAAACAUCUCUAUCAUACUAAAUGCAGUCUACUGACUUGGGAUUGGGCAGCUAACCCAAAAUGAGCUCUUUAAAUCUCUUCCCUGGAAACUGAAAGAUGGAAAGAGUCAAUCCGGUUGUCCUCCAGGUGGGUGGGCCAGUAAUAGAAAAACUCAGGAUGUUAUAGAAGCUACAUUUCCAACAUGUGGUCUCUGAAGAAGAAUAUUCUUGUUGAACAUUCCAGAACAUUCAACCAGGAUGAAAAAUGAGAUAGAUUCAAGGAAACGAACAGACAUGAAAGGCAGAAUGAGUGUUCCUUUCCCAUUUGAUUCUUUCAGUUUAUUUUGAAGUUCCCAAUGCAUUCCUAUCUUUUAUGUGACACAUAAAGCAUAUAUCAUAUUUCCCCCUACUUUCUUUAAGUUGGUUCAAGUGGGUUUGGUUAUAUUAAAGUGCCCUCACUGAAGCAUCAAUAUAUCUGGGAUGUGGUCCAGUUGUAAUAAAGCAUCAAACUAGUUUCUUCGUUAAUAUGUUAUUUGGAAGUGACACAACAAAAACAGCUGAGAAAUAAUAAAAAUAUAAAGAAGCUAUCUCUGUAGCAAUCCUGUCUUUGAACAAAUGGAAACUUCUAGACAUGUCUCCUUGGUGACCUCAAAUUUAGAACAGGAAUAUUAAAUACAUAAAUUUAAAGCACAUUGAAAAAAUAUUUGAACUAUAAGAAGAAAACAAAUUCUUGAAAGAGC